rnacentral:rRNA from 1 species
CGGCGAGCGAAACGGGAAGAGCCCAGCGCUGAAUCCUGCGGCCCCGGCGGGCCGCCGGGAAAUGUAGCGUUCGGGAGGAGAGUUAUACAUACACGCGCGGUCAUUAGUCACGGCUGCCUGUCCAAGUUCAUCUUGAACGGGGCCCGCUUACCCGCAGAGGGUGCCAGGCCCGUGGUGACGGUAGCCGGCCGCGACGGUCUCUCUCCCUAGAGUCGGGUUGCUUGAGAGUGCAGCCCUAAGUGGGUGGUAAACUCCAUCUAAGGCUAAAUACUACCACGAGACCGAUAGCGAACAAGUACCGUGAGGGAAAGUUGAAAAGAACUUUGAAGAGAGAGUUAAAGAGUACGUGAAACCGUUCAGGGGUAAACCUGUGGAACUCAAACGAGCGAACGGGGAGAUCAUCGUGUCUUCCGUCGGGGCCCGCGUCCCGCGUCCACCUUCGCGUUCGGCCUCCUCGCGGGGUCGGUGCGGAGGGGGCGCGGGUGCGCAGCCGGGCCCCCGGAGCGCGUGCACUUCUCCCUCAGUAUAACACCGCGACCCGUCGCGCCGCGGUCGAAUGCGCCGUGCGGUUGUCCCGUCUCGCUACGCNAGGCGGAGCCGCGGUGUCCACGGCCGCGGCGUACGCAUAAAUACGCAGCGACGGUAGAGACCGAGGAUCGCGUCCGCCCCCAGCGGGCGUCCGUCGCGCCGCAGCGGUGUCCUUCGCGCGGCCCCCGGCGCCCAGUGCGUCCGGGUGUCGCGUGUCGGGCGCCGUCGUUAGUGGCGCGCUCUCGGACGGGACGCGUCCCGGUCGNCGGUGGUUUUGUUUUGGGCACUCACAGGACCCUCCAUGUGCGCGAGUCAUUGGGAACGUUGAUAAACCCAGAGGCGAAAUGAAAGUGAAAGGCCGGCCUCGAGCCGGUCGCAGGGAAGAUGCGCGGACGGCGUCAGCCGUCCCGCCGCAUUCCCGAGGCGUUUCGAGAAAGCCACCGUGCGAUUAUCGAGACGCACUGAGAGCGUACACGCUGGGACCCGAAAGAUGGUGAACUAUGCCUGG